CCAAGAGAUCCUGCCACUACGUUUUUACUGGCUACACCUUUUUUUGGACAACUUCUCAAGGUGGUGUGGGAAGUGGGAAUCAUCUCAUGCCAUUUUAAUUCAUUACAUUCACUUAACAAAGAGUCUGCCUGAUCUGAGAUCUAGCCAAACCAGAACCCUGAAGAAGCUGUCCAGACUGCAUCUCCUGUGAUAAGGCCCAUCUCCAGGAGAAACACAGCCUGACUCAAGAUUUGCUAGAAGAGUGCCCUUAUGCAGUCUGAAGGAGUUAUUGCUACUCCUGUAGAGGCAUUUUUCCAAGUACAGCCAUAAAUAAAAAGAACCUCCUCACCAAAGGUGGAGGCAAAGCCUUGAAAGGCUUCUCUGACUGCAUCAGGACAAACUCCUUCAACAAAUCUGAGUUAUUUGCUCAACCCUUCUUCUUGGAAAUACAUACAGUACAACCCAGAGUCUAAACAUCAACAGCUACAGCCAUUUCGCUACUCAGUGCUGAAAUCAUUGCAUCACUUCAUGAAUCAUCCACUGCCAUGCUAUCUGGGGACAAAAAAAGGCAGCAAUGGAACACACACACAGGAGGGAAAGAGACAAG